GACGAGGUGCCGGAGUGGUUAUCGGGAACGCCUAGAAUUUAUCGUUCUACACUGAUUUGAGUGGCCAGCGUUUGGGCUCUGCCCGCACAGGUUCGAAUCCUGUUCUCGUCG